rnacentral:rRNA from 1 species
AUUGAACGCUGGCGGCAGGCCUAACACAUGCAAGUCGAGCGGAUGAGGGAAGCUUGCUUCCCGAUUUAGCGGCGGACGGGUGAGUAAUGCCUAGGAAUCUGCCUAUUAGUGGGGGAUAACGUUCCGAAAGGAACGCUAAUACCGCAUACGUCCUACGGGAGAAAGUGGGGGAUCUUCGGACCUCACGCUAAUAGAUGAGCCUAGGUCGGAUUAGCUAGUUGGUGGGGUAACGGCGCACCAAGGCGACGAUCCGUAGCUGGUCUGAGAGGAUGAGAAGCCACACUGGAACUGAGACACGGUCCAGACUCCUACGGGAGGCAGCAGUGGGGAAGAUUGGACAAUGGGCGAAAGCCUGAUCCAGCCAUGCCGCGUGUGUGAAGAAGGUCUUCGGAUUGUAAAGCACUUUAAGUCGGGAGGAAGGGUUGUAAGCUAAUAUCUUGCAGCUUUGACGUUACCAACAGAAUAAGCACCGGCUAACUCUGUGCCAGCCGCCGCGGUAAUAC